GGUCCCUAUCUUUCGUGGGCGUAGGAUAUUUGAGAGGAGCUGUUCCUAGUACGAGAGGAUCGGAAUGGACGAACCUAUGGUGUUCCAGUUGUCACGCCAGUGGCAUUGCUGGGUAGCUAUGUUCGGAAUGGAUAACCGCUGAAAGCAUCUAAGUGGGAAGCCAACCUUAAGAUUAGAUAUCCCUUUUUGAUGGAAACAUCAGAACUAAAGACUCCUUGGAGACUACAAGGUUGAUAGGCUAGAAGUGUAAGUGUGGUAACACAUUCAGCUAACUAGUACUAAUUAAGUCGUGAGGCUUGGC
rnacentral:rRNA from 1 species